rfam:Camelus ferus unplaced genomic scaffold scaffold353, whole genome shotgun sequence.
GAAGGGAAGAGCUCAGUGGUAGAGUGUGUGCUUGGCAUGCACGAGGUCCUGGGUUCAGCCCCCAGUGCCUCCA